rnacentral:rRNA from 1 species
AUUGAACGCUGGCGGCAUGCUUUACACAUGCAAGUCGAACGGACUUAGGUGCUUGCACCUAGGUUAGUGGCGAACGGGUGAGUAAUGCAUCGGAACGUACCGUGUAAUGGGGGGAUAACGUAGCGAAAGUUACGCUAAUACCGCAUACGAUCUAAGGAUGAAAGCAGGGGAUCUUCGGACCUUGUGCUCCUGGAGCGGCCGAUAUCUGAUUAGCUAGUUGGUGAGGUAAAGGCUCACCAAGGCAUCGAUCAGUAGCUGGUCUGAGAGGACGACCAGCCACACUGGAACUGAGACACGGUCCAGACUCCUACGGGAGGCAGCAGUGGGGAAUUUUGGACAAUGGGGGCAACCCUGAUCCAGCAAUGCCGCGUGAGUGAAG